GGCAGCAGGCGCGCAAAUUACCCACUCCCAGCACGGGGAGGUAGUGACGAAAAAUAACGAUACGGGACUCAUCCGAGGCCCCGUAAUCGGAAUGAGUACACUUUAAAACUUUUCCCGAGGAUCAAUUGGAGGGUAAGUCUGGUGCCAGCAGCCGCGGUAAUUCCAGCUCCAAUAGCGUAUAUUAAAGUUGUUGCGGUUAAAAAGCUCGUAGUCGAAUCUGUGUCCCGCGCCGCUGGUUCAUCGCUCGCGGUGUUCAACUGGCGUGUCUCGCGGGACGUCCUGCCGGUGGGCGCUCGUAUCGUUUCGGCGGUGCGUGGCCCAACUCGUUUCCGUCUCGCGCGGUUGCGAAUCCCAUCGCGGUGCUCUUUAUUGAGUGUCGAGGUGGGCCGGCACGUUUACUUUGAACAAAUUAGAGUGCUUAAAGCAGGCCAAUUUUGCCUGAAUAUUGUGUGCAUGGAAUAAUGGAAUAGGACCUCGGUUCUAUUUUGUUGGUUUUAGGAACCCCGAGGUAAUGAUUAAUAGGAACGGAUGGGGGCAUUCGUAUUGCGACGUUAGAGGUGAAAUUCUUGGAUCGUCGCAAGACGGACAGAAGCGAAAGCAUUUGCCAAAAACGUUUUCAUUGAUCAAGAACGAAAGUUAGAGGUUCGAAGGCGAUCAGAUACCGCCCUAGUUCUAACCAUAAACGAUGCCAGCUAGCGAUCCGCCGACGUUCCUCCGAUGACUCGGCGGGCAGCUUCCGGGAAACCAAAGCUUUUGGGUUCCGGGGGAAGUAUGGUUGCAAAGCUGAAACUUAAAGGAAUUGACGGAAGGGCACCACCAGGAGUGGAGCCUGCGGCUUAAUUUGACUCAACACGGGACACCUCACCAGGCCCGGACACCGGAAGGAUUGACAGAUUGAGAGCUCUUUCUUGAUUCGGUGGGUGGUGGUGCAUGGCCGUUCUUAGUUGGUGGGGCG
rnacentral:rRNA from 1 species